rnacentral:lncRNA from 1 species
CUAGAACAUCCUCUCAGAACUGCAGAGGACUGAGUGAUUUCACAGCUGCUGCUGUCUUGUGUUUUCAUUUCUCUACGGUUUUACAGGUGAGAUGGGAAUGCUGGAGGGAGAGAUGUUUUCAAUUGUCCUCUCCUGACACGGCUUGAAGAUCUAAUCUCAGGAAUGACACAGGAAUCUGAGAGUCUGCUACAAUGGCAGCGGCGGUGUGUGCUUCACAGGAGGGACUACAAGCCAUGCUCCACUCGUCCAUCUUUGGUGAUCAGAUCAUCGGUGGCGUUGUCGGCUGGAUACCCAGGCUACUAAGAAUGAGUCUUCAUAGGACAGUCAUACAGAGAACCCGGCCUACCUCGACUGCAGCCUAAGACUUGG